rnacentral:tRNA from 1 species
UAAGUUAUUUAAACUAGUAGCCUUCAAAGCUGCCUACGCCCAAUCCUCCCCCAGGGUUC